rnacentral:rRNA from 1 species
GACGAACGCUGGCGGCGUGCUUAACACAUGCAAGUCGAACGAAGAGCGAUGGAAGCUUGCUUCUAUCAAUCUUAGUGGCGAACGGGUGAGUAACGCGUAAUCAACCUGCCCUUCAGAGGGGGACAACAGUUGGAAACGACUGCUAAUACCGCAUACGAUCUAAACUCGGCAUCGAGGAUAGAUGAAAGGUGGCCUCUACAUGUAAGCUAUCACUGAAGGAGGGGAUUGCGUCUGAUUAGCUAGUUGGAGGGGUAACGGCCCACCAAGGCGAUGAUCAGUAGCCGGUCUGAGAGGAUGAACGGCCACAUUGGGACUGAGACACGGCCCAGACUCCUACGGGAGGCAGCAGUGGGGAAUCUUCCGCAAUGGACGAAAGUCUGACGGAGCAACGCCGCGUGAGUGAUGACGGCCUUCGGGUUGUAAAGCUCUGUUAAUCGGGACGAAAGGCCUUCUUGCG